UACGUAGGGUGCGAGCGUUAAUCGGAAUUACUGGGCGUAAAGCGGGCGCAGGCGGUUGCACAAGGCAGGGGGGAAAUCCCCGGGCUUAACCUGGGAACUGCCUUUGUGACUGUGCGGCUAGAGUGUGUCAGAGGGGGGUAGAAUUCCACGUGUAGCAGUGAAAUGCGUAGAUAUGUGGAGGAAUACCGAUGGCGAAGGCAGCCCCCUGGGAUAACACUGACGCUCAUGCACGAAAGCGUGGGGAGCAAACAGG
rnacentral:rRNA from 1 species